rnacentral:rRNA from 1 species
AGCAGCCGCGGUAAUUCCAGCUCCAAUAGCGUAUAUUAAAGUUGUUGCAGUUAAAAAGCUCGUAGUUGAAUUUCGGGAUUGACGUAAUGGUCAUGCCUUAAGGGGUAUGAACUGUUACUGUUGAUUUCUCACCUUCUGGAGAAACUUGAUGUCCUUUAUUGGGUGUCUUGCGGAUCCAGGACCUUUACCUUGAAAAAAUUAGAGUGUUUAAAGCAGGCAUUUUUGCUCGAAUACAUUAGCAUGGAAUAAUAGAAUAGGACGGCAUGGUUCUAUUUUGUUGGUUUCUAGGAUCACCGUAAUGAUUAAUAGGGAUAGUUGGGGGCAUUAGUAUUCAAUUAGUCAGAGGUGAAAUUCUUGGAUUUAUUGAAGACUAACUACUGCGAAAGCAUUUGCCAAGGAUGUUUUCU